CCAUGACCUGCAACCUCACAAAUUUUUUUAAGAGAUAAGAGGUUAAAACUAAAAUUGAUAGACUUUGUCCUACAUUCUUUCACUUUAUACACCAACUUAUCAACUAAAUUAUUCAUUAAUUUAGAGUCGAGAAGAGUUGAGAAGUCUAAUCGUGAAUUUGUUUGAGAGAAGGUCAAUUAUAGGAUUCAUUAGUUAGAAUUUAUUUUUAAAUAAUAAUUAAUUGGAAGAUUAAGGGGUUAAGUAUGUAAACCUCUCACAAACCUUAGUUUCAAUCUUCAAGUAGCCUUACUUCUCAAAGUAUUCAUCUCUGGUUCAGACUAUAAAAAUUUUCGCAAGAAUGAUCAUGUAAUUUAAUUCACGUGAUGAAGUAAAAGAAGAUGAAAUUAUUCAGAUACAACACACAUAAAAAUGUGUAAUCUCUCCUCACUUACAAAUCCUAAAAAUUUCCCUAAAGCACCCAAAAAUCACAUGAGAUUAAAUUAAGCGACAAAAUAAAGUCGACUAAUAUUUAUCAUGAUGGAUCAAGAGAAGGCAGAAUUAUAUAAACAUGAUAUGUACUAUAUCAAAAUUCCUCAUUAUUUACGGUUCUUAAAAGAAUUAGAAGCAAGUGAAAUAACAAUUUUCUCCAAAGAUUAUAUACUAUUUGCUCCUUUUCAUCAUAUGCCUAGAAUACUUAUAGCUACAAAUGAAGACUAUCAGAAUUCAUUACUAAUUUUUGAAUCAUAAAAAAGUAACUCUUGGAUACCAUUCCAAAAUAACUGAAUAUCACAUAAUGACUAAUAACAAAAUGUAACUUCUAUUGCAUUUAAUAUGUGUUAUUAGACAUUAAAGCCGUGCAAAUAUUCAAGCAUGUAGUGGGCUUUGCAUGCUAAUCCAGGUGCUGCCUAGUGCUUAUACCAUAAAUUGGAGGCUCCAUUUUGAUCUAAGAGAGAAAGCCGAGGCCAUCUCUGAGUUCACAACGCUUGAAAUUACACUAAGGCUCAGUUGUUGUAGUAUCAGCUGAAUGGUUACUUGCAACCCCAAAAUGAAUUCAAAAUCUGUGGAGCUAGAGAUAGAAGAAUUUGAGAAAAUGACUAACAAUGCUACCAUUGUUCAAAAAGAAACACUCCAAAAGAUUCUUGAACAAAAUGGCCAAGUAGAAUACUUACAGGCUUCAGGCCUCAGAGGGAGAACUGAUCCUGAAAGCUUGAAAGCUUGUAUUCCUCUUGUCACUCAUGAGGACCUGGAACCUUAUUUACAGAGAAUCGUGGAUGGUGAUGAUUCACCAAUUCUAACAGGGAGGCUAGUUAAAGCAUUGUCGUUGAGUUCUGGUACGACACACCGAAAAUCGAAGCUUAUUCCCUUCAACGAGGAAAUGUUGCGAUCCAUGAUGCAGAUUUAUCGCACGUCAUUUGCUUUUAUAAAUAGGUAAGUUUA